GAUGAACGCUGGCGGCGUGCCUAAUACAUGCAAGUCGAGCGAACAGACGAGGAGCUUGCUCCUCUGACGUUAGCGGCGGACGGGUGAGUAACACGUGGAUAACCUACCUAUAAGACUGGGAUAACUUCGGGAAACCGGAGCUAAUACCGGAUAAUAUAUUGAACCGCAUGGUUCAAUAGUGAAAGACGGUUUUGCUGUCACUUAUAGAUGGAUCCGCGCCGCAUUAGCUAGUUGGUAAGGUAACGGCUUACCAAGGCGACGAUGCGUAGCCGACCUGAGAGGGUGAUCGGCCACACCGGAACUGAGACAAGGUCCAGACUCCUAAGGGAGGCAGCAGUAGGGAAUCUUCCGCAAUGGGCGAAAGCCUGACGGAGCCACGCCGCGUGAGUGAUGAAGGUCUUCGGAUCGUAAAACUCUGUAAUUAGGGAAGAAAAAAAGUGUAAGUAACUAUGCACGUCUUGACGGUACCUAAUGAGAAAGCCACGGCUAACUACGUG
rnacentral:rRNA from 1 species